rnacentral:rRNA from 1 species
GUGGAUUAGAUACCCGGGUAGUCCACGCCGUAAACGGUGGGCACUAGAUGUGGGGCUCAUUCCAUGAGUUCCGCGUCGCAGCUAACGCAUUAAGUGCCCCGCCUGGGGAGUACGGCCGCAAGGCUAAAACUCAAAGGAAUUGACGGGGGCCCGCACAAGCGGCGGAGCAUGCGGAUUAAUUCGAUGCAACGCGAAGAACCUUACCAAGGCUUGACAUAUACCGUUUAUCCCUAGAGAUAGGGAGUCCUUCGGGGCGGUAUACAGGUGGUGCACGGUUGUCGACAACU